GUCACCAUGGAGAUGUGUUGCUCCAUCUGAAGUGUCUCAGCUGUUUGUAGACUCCUUGGGGGUUACGCCAUGGGUGGCUACGAUUCUAGCUACUACGGCGAAUAAACGAGAUUGAAGAGAGAUAUUUUGCUUGGUCCUCUUUAACCCCCC